AUGAAUUCAGGAUUGAAUGAUUUCGUAUUAAUGCUUUGUAUAGGAUCAUUAUGUCUUCUGUGUUUAACGUAACUGAUGAUGAUGGUAAGCGAUGUAGCUGGUGAAACCCCCCCCCCACGAAAUCCCUGUUCUCAACGAAAACACAUUAGUGUUUUCGCCCAAAAGUGAUUUCGGCCCAAGUUUUGGUUUUCGCCCACUAAGUGAUUUCACCUGGUAAUCUGUAACUUUGUAUCUUGAAUGUUAAACUGUUACGUGGUUAACUCUGUUAAGUUUGACUCUGUUAAGUGGUUAACUCUGUUAAGUAGUAACUGAGUUAAGUAUGCCUUAUAGGUUAUGAAUGUUAACUGGGUUACAUUAAUCAUAUUAACUAUGAUAAACUCGUUAUGUAUGAUAACUCUAUUAUGACACAGUGUUUAUGUUAAGUGUGUUAACUCAAAUAUUGGCAUGUUAGUUCUGAUUAAUCUUGGUUAACGCCAGUAUUGCAAUUAAGUUUUCCAAGACUGUUAAGGAAUAACUAAGUUAAAAUAAACUGAGGAAGCCUAUAAGGUAAAGCUUGAAUUGCAUGAGUUGAUUAACUGCUUAAGUGUUACCUGACGUAAACUGUCAAAUACACCUUGUGACAUAGAGUAUAUGUGAAACUUUACCAACAUGUACUGACUGUGAAUACGUGCAUACUAUAGGACGUGAUUGAUUCUAGUGAGCACUUAACUUUUGCAUACCGAGCAAACCAAGG
rnacentral:lncRNA from 1 species